rnacentral:misc_RNA from 1 species
UGACUGGGCAUGCAACGCCAGCGGCUCACCUUAUCCCUCCCCUUCAGCAGUCCCCUAUCUUUUUGCCGCUCUACCGACGUUCUCUCUCCCUUGGUAGAUGCGAGGCCUCUCGCGCACUGCCGUUUUCAGCGCCGCUCAGCGUGCGCGCUUGUCGUGCAGCUGGACUGGUUUGGGCUGCCUUGUGACCGUGCCGACUCCUGUUGCCCGUACGCCCCCAGCACGCGCGACGCAGCAGCGAUGGGCUUCGACCUCCCGCGGGAGCUCAGGUGCGACGGGGCCGCAGACCCACCACCCCUCUCCCACGCCUGCUGGGCGGCGCGACGCCUUUCUUGGCGUUUUGCAGGUCACCUCCAAGAACAUUACGACCGAGAUGGAGUCGAAGGUUCCUUUACUUCUGUACUUCAUGGUUACCAACCACCCCGAGGUGAAGCAGUACACGGAGUUGCUUUGCCACCAGGUGGAUCAGGCGAAUCGCCGCCUCAAGACGAAAACUUCGGCGACGUGUAUCAAGAAUUUGGCGUGGACGCAGGUCUCGCGAUCAAGCUUGGCAUGGUAGACUGCCUACAGGAGCCGGGGCUCAUGUCCAAGUUUCACAUUGAUCCGCACAUGUUCCCCUUGAUCUACUUUGUGCGCAACAAGGUGUUCUGCGACAAGAUGGCCGGGGUGGUGACCGAAUCGCAGGUGAAGGAGGCCGUGGAGGCGUUUAUCGACUACGCCAAGUUGGAAUCCAAAAACGAGUCUGAGGGCGUCUCCUUAUUACAAAAGGUGAGGCGUCAGGACAAUGACGAUGAAAACGCCAUGACCCUCAUCGCCGCGGCGCACGGCAAGAUGCAGGCCGGUGACCCUGCGAAAGGCAAGCAACUCUUCGAAAAGGCACUUCGCAUGUCCAUGGAGGACAUCGAGAUCGUGAAGAAGCGCUACGGUGUUCCGGGAAGAAGAUGACGCCAGAGUUGUGGGCAAAGCUGAAGCGCGAGCCCUGCUACAACUCGGCUCCAGAGGCUUUGUGCGGACUUGCGAUGUGCGCCAUGGCAUCCAAGCAGCGAGACGAGGCAUUUCGUCUCGCGGCGCGGGUGCGCGAGGAGUUCCCGUUUGCUCCGCAGGACAUGCGCGGCGUUGCGGAGGCCGUUGUGCGCAUCGAGCUCAUUCAGGUAGUCGACUACGACCCCGACACGGACAACUACAUGCGACUUCUCAAAUUCGACGAGCUCGUGAGCGAGCCCGCACAGUUUUACAAGCACCACCUGAAGCGCGCUGUCGCCUUUUACGUGGAGGGAGUGGCCGGGCAGGCGAUUGAGGAGUGCCUUCGCCUCAUCCGCGCGGAACCGAAGCUGCUAUCUGCGCUCAAGGAAGGUGGCAUUGUACCGAAGGAUCUCCGCUUAGGUCCCACGGCUGUCACACCCGCGCGGCAGGUCAUUCGAGCCAUCUUUGAAGCGCUGGGACCCGCCAAUGAGCAUGCAGAGAAGGGCCGUAAGCUUCUUCAGCUGUAUCUCUAGCUCGUCAUGGACAGCGCCUGCGGAGCGGACUCCCAGAGGACUAGGGAAUAGCGAGCCAAUAACGGCGAAGAGACCAACCGGAGGAGAUGACCUCCAAGCAGUGCAUCGCUUCCAUACGGUGCAGGUGAAGGCGACAACAGCAAAGCGACCGGAAAAAAAAUGCUUUACUUUUUCCAUCAGCGGGCGCCUGUGCAGGAUUUAUUUUGCUCUCUCGUCUGUGCAUGCACAGCCGUUGCUCAACCGCAUCACACCAGAGAACAUUUUUUCUUCUGCCUUCGUGCUCACCCUUCGCACCGAAACGGCACCGCGGACGCUGCUGCGGGGGCAGCCAUGCGCCGCCAGUAUGACAUAUACCCUGCAAUACCUGAAGGAAUGCACUAGCGCUGCUUGCGUCCAGAUCAAGAAUGCGGGGGGGUCGUAUCUGCGACCCGCUGCAGCUUUCAGCGGUCAUGGUAGGUAACGCCUUAGCACAGGUACUUUGUUUCUCCAGCAGUGCUGCACGUACCUAUACAGGAGGGGUCUCCUUCUCUCCACUCGAGUUGGUCCGUCUUCUGAUACCGUGCACGCAG